ensembl:miRNA
GGUCCAGGUCCAGGUUCUGGUUCUGGUUCUGGUCCUGGUCCUGGUCCUGAUCCUGGUCCUGGUCCUGGUCCAGGUC